rnacentral:rRNA from 1 species
UACGUAGGGUGCGAGCGUUGUCCGGAAUUACUGGGCGUAAAGAGCUCGUAGGUGGUUUGUCGCGUUGUUCGUGAAAACUCACAGCUUAACUGUGGGCGUGCGGGCGAUACGGGCAGACGUGGAGUACUGCAGGGGAGACUGGAAUUCCUGGUGUAGCGGUGGAAUGCGCAGAUAUCAGGAGGAACACCGAUGGCGAAGGCAGCUCGCUGGGACGGUACUGACGCUGAGGCGACGGAAAGCGUGGGGAGCAAACAGG